AGAGUUUGAUCCUGGCUCAGGACGAACGCUGGCGGCGUGCCUAAUACAUGCAAGUCGAGCGAGGGUCUUCGGACCCUAGCGGCGGACGGGUGAGUAACACGUAGGCAACCUGCCUGUAAGACUGGGAUAACAUAGGGAAACUUAUGCUAAUACCGGAUAGAGUUUUCUCUCGCAUGAGGGAGAACGGAAAGAUGGCGCAAGCUAUCACUUACAGAUGGGCCUGCGGCGCAUUAGCUAGUUGGUGGGGUAAUGGCCUACCAAGGCGACGAUGCGUAGCCGACCUGAGAGGAUGAUCAGCCACACUGGGACUGAGACACGGCCCAGACUCCUACGGGAGGCAGCAGUCGGGAAUCUUGCGCAAUGGGCGAAAGCCUGACGCAGCAACGCCGUGUGGGUGAGGAAGGCCCUAGGGUCGUAAAGCCCUGUUGUUGGGGACGAAGGGCGAAGGGUUAAUAGCCCCUAGCUUGACGGUACCCUUCGAGGAAGCCCCGGCUAACUACGUGCCAGCAGCCGCGGUAAUACGUAGGGGGCGAGCGUUGUCCGGAAUUAUUGGGCGUAAAGAGCGUGUAGGCGGUUCGGUAAGUCUGUCGUGAAAUUCUGGGGCUCAACCCCGGGCGUGCGAUGGAUACUGCCGGGCUAGAGGGUGGUAGAGGCGAGUGGAAUUCCCGGUGUAGCGGUGAAAUGCGCAGAUAUCGGGAGGAACACCAGUAGCGAAGGCGGCUCGCUGGGCCACACCUGACGCUGAGACGCGAAAGCUAGGGGAGCGAACAGGAUUAGAUACCCUAGUAGUCC
rnacentral:rRNA from 1 species